GUAAUGCCAAGGAAUCUGCCUGGUAGUGGGGGAUAACGUCCGGAAACGGGCGCUAAUACCGCAUACGUCCUACGGGAGAAAGCAGGGGACCUUCGGGCCUUGCGCUAUCAGAUGAGCCUAGGUCGGAUUAGCUAGUUGGUGAGGUAAUGGCUCACCAAGGCGACGAUCCGUAACUGGUCUGAGAGGAUGAUCAGUCACACUGGAACUGAGACACGGUCCAGACUCCUACGGGAGGCAGCAGUGGGGAAUAUUGGACAAUGGGCGAAAGCCUGAUCCAGCCAUGCCGCGUGUGUGAAGAAGGUCUUCGGAUUGUAAAGCACUUUAAGUUGGGAGGAAGAGCAUUAACCUAAUACGUUAGUGUUUUGACGUUACCGACAGAAUAAGCACCGGCUAACUUCGUGCCAGCAGCCGCGGUAAUACGAAGGGUGCAAGCGUUAAUCGGAAUUACUGGGCGUAAAGCGCGCGUAGGUGGUUCGUUAAGUUGGAUGUGAAAGCCCCGGGCUCAACCUGGGAACUGCAUCCAAAACUGGCGAGCUAGAGUACGGUAGAGGGUGGUGGAAUUUCCUGUGUAGCGGUGAAAUGCGUAGAUAUAGGAAGGAACACCAGUGGCGAAGGCGACCACCUGGACUGAUACUGACACUGAGGUGCGAAAGCGUGGGGAGCAAACAGGAUUAGAUACGCUGGUAGUCCACGCCGUAUACGAUGUCAACUAGCCGUUGGGUUCCUUGAGAACUUAUUGGCGCAGCUAACGCAUUAAGUUGACCGCCUGGGGAGUACGGCCGCAAGGUUAAGACUCACAUGA
rnacentral:rRNA from 1 species